AUUGAACGCUGGCGGUAGGCCUAACACAUGCAAGUCGAGCGGAUGAAGGGAGCUUGCUCCUGGAUUCAGCGGCGGACGGGUGAGUAAUGCCUAGGAAUCUGCCUGGUAGUGUGGGAUAACGUCCGGAAACGGGCGCUAAUACCGCAUACGUCCUGAGGGAGAAAGUGGGGGAUCUUCGGACCUCACGCUAUCAGAUGAGCCUAUGUCGGAUUAGCUAGUUGGUGGGGUAAAGGCCUACCAAGGCGACGAUCCGUAACUGGUCUGAGAGGAUGAUCAGUCACACUGGAACUGAAAACCGGUCCAAACUCCUACGGAAGGCAGCAGUGGGGAAUAUUGGAAAAUGGGCGAAAGCCUGAUCCAGCCAAGCCGCGUGUGUGAAGAAGGUCUUCGGAUUGUAAAGCACUUUAAGUUGGAAGAAAGGGAGGUAAGUUAAUACCUGGCUGUUUUGACGUUACCAACAGAAUAGGCACCGGCUAACUUCGU
rnacentral:rRNA from 1 species